rnacentral:rRNA from 1 species
AGCGAACGCUGGCGGUAGGCCUAACACAUGCAAGUCGAACGGCAGCACAGGAGAGCUUGCUCUCUGGGUGGCGAGUGGCGGACGGGUGAGGAAUACAUCGGAAUCUACUUUUUCGUGGGGGAUAACGUAGGGAAACUUACGCUAAUACCGCAUACGACCUACGGGUGAAAGCAGGGGAUCUUCGGACCUUGCGCGAUUGAAUGAGCCGAUGUCGGAUUAGCUAGUUGGCGGGGUAAAGGCCCACCAAGGCGACGAUCCGUAGCUGGUCUGAGAGGAUGAUCAGCCACACUGGAACUGAGACACGGUCCAGACUCCUACGGGAGACAGCAGUGGGGAAUAUUGGACAAUGGGCGCAAGCCUGAUCCAGCCAUACCGCGUGGGUGAAGAAGGCCUUCGGGUUGUAAAGCCCUUUUGUUGGGAAGGAAAUCCAGCUGGCUAAUACCCGGUUGGGAUGACGGUACCCAAAGAAUAAGCACCGGCUAACUUCGUGCCAGCCGCCGCGGUAA